rnacentral:rRNA from 1 species
AUUGAACGCUGGCGGCAGGCCUAACACAUGCAAGUCGAACGACUGGCGGACGGGUGAGUAAUGUCUGGGAAACUGCCCGCUGGAGGGGGAUAACUACUGGAAACGGUAGCUAAUACCGCAUACCUUCUGAUGUGCCCAGAUGGGUUUAGCUAGUAGGUGGGGUAAUGGCUCACCUAGGCGACGAUCCCUAGCUGCUCUCAGAGGAUGACGAAGGACGCUGCAACUGGUAAACGUGCGAAAGUCCUACGGGAGGCAGAAGUGGGGAAUAUUGCACAAUGAGAGCAAGCCUGAAACAGCCGCGCCGCGUGUAUGAAGGAAACCAUCGGGUUGUAAAGUACUUUCAGGGGUGACGCGUUACCCGCAGAAGAAGAACAGGCAAACGCCGUACCAGCAGCCGCGGUAAUAC